ensembl:lncRNA
AUGAGGACACCCCAUAUCCACACUGGUUCUCAGAUGUCCAAUAUAAGACAUAAAACCUUGACCCAAAUCUGGUCCACUGCUAAUUUGUGUACACCAGUGGUUCUCAAUCUGUGGGUCCCCAAAUCUGUGGGUAAAGAAGACUUUACGAGAAAAACUCGUUUUUCUAGGAAGACAAAAAACAAGAUAAGCAGCAACAGUUUACACAUUCCCAUUUCUAGUGUUGCCAGAAAACUACUUCCCUGGCCACUUGUUCUUCUAAAGCACCUCCUUGUGGUGAAAAGGGGACAGUACUGCAGGGAAAUAAUUUCUGAUAGGAUUGCUAAAUAAAUACACCAAAUUAUAUGCUGGUUAACAGAGUUUUCAAUAUAGUUCACCAAUCUGGAAGGCAAACCAGAUUGGUGGGAUUUAUAUUCCAAUAGAACAGACAUUAAGAAAUGUGACACAAGUGAGCAAAGUGUAAGGCAUUACGUUGUGAUCUUACACACUGCAUUGCUGGAUUUUUCAAAAGAUUACGAUUUUUAAAUUUACAGUUGGUAUGGCCCUGGUCAUGCUGCCUGUUGGAUUCAGCAACUUGGGAAUCCCAAAAGGUGAUUUUUCUACACUCUGGAUAUGAGUGAUCCAGACAUUACACACUGCGGCUGGAGAAGAAGAGCAAAGCAGCCGGCACAGGAGGGUGCUAAACAUACACUGCUGUGCUCCUCCAAGGAAAACAUAAGGCCAAUUGUCCUGAGCUCAGCAUGUCCACCAAGUUCCUACUGGUCUUUACAAAUUCAGAGCCAAUGAUAGAGCCCAGACAGCAAAAGGACGAUUUGCGAGGUCAGAAGUAUCAUGUUCAAGCCAGCGGAGGAAAGACUUCUGCUCAGGAGCUUUGCAUUGCAUUCAUCACUGCAAAAUUCAGUCCUGGAAAGUUGCUGCCAAUCAGUGUAGACCAGCUUUCCCAAACCAGUGUCAUUUAGAUAUGGCAGAUUGUAAUAUCAUGGUGACUGAGGAUAGUGGAAUUUACAGUCCAACAUAUUAGAGAGCACCCAAGUUAGGGAACGCCAGUGGAGAUAUAAUGCUGGCUUUAUGGACCAGUAGUCUGAUUUAAUAGAAGGCAUUUUCCUUAAUCUUUGAUCAAUGAAACAUGUCAUUUAUAAAGCACCUGCUUUCACAGGUGUGUGUAACUCAGACUCUCCAGAUAUUGUUGGACUGCAACACCCAACACUCUAGCUGAGGCAGCCAUAGGUAAAGAGUGAUAGGAGAUGCAAUCUGAUAAGAUCUGGAAGAUCACACUUUGCCCUCCUCUGCACUCACUGGUGAUAGGAAAGGUGUCUGUCUGUCUCUGAGGAAGCCAUAUGGACAAGAGGUACCCUACAAAGGUGAUGUAUAGGAAUGUGAUGCGGGAGCCCUAUUCAGUCAUGUUGUUCCCCUUUUCCCUGGAGAUUACUUUAAAAUAAGUGGCUAACUCCGCUGGUUCUGGAGCCAACAUUCUCCCCUUAGGAGCCACUGCUGCAUCAUUGCUAUAAUUCAGGAGCAAACAAGAAAAGGCCAUUUAACGGUUCAAAUGAGGUGCUCCCAGUUUGCCAUCAUGGAAAGCACUUAAAAGCAUGUUUUUUGGUUGGCUUUUAGCAGUUCAAUUCUGACAAAUUUUUGGUGUGGGAGAGACAAUGUAUUUGACAAUGACCUCUUACCCAUCCUGUCUAAGAAUGCCCAUUCAGUAUACCAAUAUAUUUUAAUUGUAUCAAACUUCAAGAUGGGCACCUUUCCCCCCAAAGAAAAUUUACCUGACAGUUUUUUCCUUGUUCUUUCCGUGUAUAGUCAUUUUCUUUUUAUCCCACAUUAACUUACCAGAAGGAAAAUACUCUUUUGAGGAGAAAAUGCCGUUUCCCCUUAGCCCCAGAAAUAAAAAAUUGGCCUCCAUGUAGCCAUGAACAAUUCCUAUCUCAUUUAAUAGCCUUGUCAAUUUCAUUCUCUUCCUCUUCUGAUGCCUCCCCCACUACUACAAUUUAGACUAUAAAGCCCAAAUUACUCUCCAAAAUUGCAGUAUAGUGCUCUCCAAAACAGCAGAAACACUCAUGGGGCUGUAUGAAAUUUGUUUAAAUAUGUAUCAACAUCAUUUCAAAUGGUUCAAUCCUACCUUUGCCAGAUAUUCAAGGGAGAAUACACUCAAGCGCUAUGACCAGCAUAUUUUGUUGGAUGUGAAAAAUGUGCAGUUUAUUGUUUAUCAAAUUUUAUGACCUAUGCUCCUUUUGUGUAGCCAUGAAACGGUGCAUUCUUGCAGUAGAGUAUUUCCACCCAUCACUAGUUGUAUUCUUAGUAAUACAACUGGGCAUACUCCUGAAAUUACAAUCCUAAGUACUAUGUAUUUAUGAAAAAGUGAGACUUAAUUUGAAGUAGAGAUGGAGUUGAAAACAUCUAUCAUCCUCACUCAUUGUUACCUGGAACCUCUUUAAAAUAUACUGGAGGUUUUGUUGGAUUACUCAAGAUGAAAUACAGACAUUUAGUUAGGAGUUAUUUUGGGAGAGCCAAAGAACUAAGUGUAAUGUAGAUUCCUCCUCUGGGACUGCCAACUGUUUCCCAAUAACUCAAAAUAGCCUGAAAUCUAUGAAACCAAGUUGAUGCAACCACCUACAUAUCUGGACCCAUAGCUAAGCACAAGAUCCAUUCAUCAAGCUGGAAUCCAAAGUCAAAAAGGAGGAAUUCAUUCACAUAACAUCAGAAGAUAAUUUAGUGUUUCCCACAAAUUAUAGCUAACUUCCCUGAAUCCCUUGAUCAUAAGUAUGAAUCUGAAUCAGUAGGUCAACAUAUAUGUAUUAUACCAGGAAAAAGCAAUCUAAUAGCAUUGGGAUUACAUUAUCUAAUCCAGAUACAGUUUUUAUAAACCAAGUAAACACUGCCUGCGGUUCCACUCCUGAGAGAGAGAAAAAUGUGGAAAAGACAAGACAUAUUCCACACAUCAAUAUUUUCUCUUUUGUUCUGUAAAGUUUUUUCCAUAUUGACAGCAGCUUGGAAACUGGAUCCAUAGAGGUGGGAUACUCCUAAGCAAAACAUAUUGCAUAGUCAGUGCAUUUCUGGUCCCUGGUUCCCCGGGAAGACGGCAGGAACAGAGCGUUCUUUGCUGUAUCUUCAUUUGCUGUGGGCCAUAGCAGUGGGAAAGGGGAUGUUAAAUAGGAUAUUGUCUUAAAAGACAGUACAUGCUAUCCUGAUCUUUGAGCCACAAACAGAGACAUCUAAAAUGAACGGACUUUUCAAAUAGGUGAGCAGAAGUUACCCACAGCUGGCAAAAGCACACACGCACGCACACACACUCCUUCAACAGCAUACAAUGCAACAUUUACUCAAUUCCGUUGGACCAAUAUCGAAGCAGCAAAUUACUGCACAUACUUUUCAGGUUUCUGCAAAUAUGCCAACCUGCCUACUUCCUAUACAAUUCAACAAUGCUGACGAAAGGCACAUACACCAUUCAGUAAAGUAAGGAGGGGGAAGAGAUAAUGCCUACAUUUUAGUAUAGAAAUUUAACACAGUUUGCCUCCAAAAAGAUCAUAAUAAAUAAGACAAGACCAUGCAGUACUUAAAUUAAAGCCAAGAUCCAAUUCCCUAUUCCCAUUUUUUUUAAAAAAACAAAAACAAUCCCAAAACAAAACCCACAUCUUAUAAAUUAAUACGAGCCAAACUUUUCCUCCAGUCGGAAUAUAUUUGGCCUAACAACUGUCAAUGCAGCAUAAGGAAUGCAGGUGUUGUCAGAAAACAGUUUAAUUAUUUACAGAAUGAUUAUAGGAAUGAUUACAUAAAAUACAGAAGAAAAAUUUACACCUCUCACAGAAACCAGGACAAGAGAUGCUGAGCAAGCUCACAGCUGAUAGGUAACUAAAGCACUUUGAGUAAGGCAAACAAGUAUAUAGCAAAAUGAAAAAUCACAAGGACUACUGGGCAUGGGGGAGAGAAACGCAAGCUGAGGUUGUGUGUUUUUUUUUCAGAUGGAGAGCAAAAAUUAAAAUGUCAAACUAUUAAUUCAGAAUUCAAAGUGGAUGGUGUAUCUCGCAGCGAAUGUUGUCCACACCAAGACCCAUCCUCUGAAUGACAGGUGCCUCUAAUUUCAUCUGAGAUGGCCUGGGACCCUCAGGGCACAAGCUUCCUAGUGCCAAGGGGCCCAGUUGGCCACUUCUGUCAUGUUUCGUAUUCUGCUUCCUACAGCGCACACCUGUUUGCGAGUGUACAGUUUCAAAAUGUGCAACAACCGGGAAGGCCCCCACCUCCCCCCACUCCCUGAUCUCAGGAGGUUAUUACACUAACAGCACUCAAGAUUCAGUUUUGCUGGCAAUACAUUUUCAAAUCAUCCCAUCG